rnacentral:rRNA from 1 species
UACGAAGGGGACUAGCGUUGUUCGGAAUCACUGGGCGUAAAGCGCACGUAGGCGGAUUUGUAAGUCAGGGGUGAAAUCCCGGGGCUCAACUUCGGAACUGCCUUUGAUACUGCGAAUCUUGAGUCCGAUAGAGGUGGGUGGAAUUCCUAGUGUAGAGGUGAAAUUCGUAGAUAUUAGGAAGAACACCGGUGGCGAAGGCGGCCCACUGGAUCGGUACUGACGCUGAGGUGCGAAAGCGUGGGGAGCAAACAGG